GUAGUCUCGCACAGAUGCAUAUCAAUAAGCGGAGGAAAAGAAACUAACAAGGAUUCCCUUAGUAACGGCGAGUGAAGCGGGAAGAGCUCAAAUUUGAAAUCUUCAAGGUUUUACCUUGACGAAUUGUAGUUUAAGGAAGUGUUUUCUGUUGAAGUUUUGGUAAAAGUUCUUUGGAAUAGGACAUCAUAGAGGGUGAGAAUCCCGUAUUUGACCAUUAUUUUCAGCUGUGUGAUACACUUUCAAAGAGUCGGAUUGUUUGGGAAUGCAGUCCAAAAUGGGUGGUAAAUUUCAUCUAAAGCUAAAUAUUGGCGAGAGACCGAUAGCGAACAAGUACCGUGAGGGAAAGAUGAAAAGAACUUUGAAAAGAGAGUUAAACAGUACGUGAAAUUGUCAAAAGGGAAGCGUUUGACACCAGUGUUGUUUUCUCGAAAAUCAAUUAAAAAGAGUUUGAUUUUGUUGUGUAUUGACCUUAACAGCUUGCAUUUCAAUUUUCUUGCUUUUUUUAAUGCACUUUCGUUUAACAAGUCAACAUCAGUUUCUUUUGUUGUAAAAAGGUCAUUGGAAGGUGGCUUUCUUUUCGGAGAAAGUGUUUAUAGCCUUUGACUCCUGCAAUCGGAGAGACUGAGGUCUGCAGCGUAGAUCCUUCGGGGUUAGAUACAUUUGUGCUAAGUUAUAGCUUUUUAUAGACAACUUGUUGACUAUGAUUAGUCUUGUAGCUUACUCGCUUAUGCUAUUUUACCUACGCUUAGGAUGUUGAGCGCAUGUCUCUCCU
rnacentral:rRNA from 1 species